UACGUAGGGUGCAAGCGUUGUCCGGAAUUAUUGGGCGUAAAGAGCUCGUAGGCGGUCUGUCGCGUCGGCUGUGAAAACCCGAGGCUCAACCUCGGGCCUGCAGUCGAUACGGGCAAACUAGAGUACUGCAGGGGAGACUGGAAUUCCUGGUGUAGCGGUGAAAUGCGCAGAUAUCAGGAGGAACACCGGUGGCGAAGGCGGGUCUCUGGGCCGAUGACUGACGCUGGAGGAAGUGAAAGCGUGGGUAGCAAACAGG
rnacentral:rRNA from 1 species